rnacentral:rRNA from 1 species
UACAGAGGUCCCAAGCGUUGUUCGGAUUCACUGGGCGUAAAGGGUGCGUAGGUGGCCUGGAAAGUUUGAUGUGAAAGCUCGGAGCUUAACUCCGAAACUGCAUUCGAUACUGCCGUGCUUGAGGACUGGAGAGGAGACUGGAAUUUACGGUGUAGCGGUGAAAUGCGUAGAUAUCGUAAGGAAGACCAGUGGCGAAGGCGGGCCUCUGGACAGUUCCUGACGCUGAGGCACGAAGGCCAGGGGAGCAAACGGG